CUUUACCCUCAACCUUAUCUCUAGUGAACUUCUCUUUCGUUGUUCCAGUUGGCAAUAGGCAUACUUUUUCCCUACUUUUAAGGAAUGAAUCGAUCUUAUGAGUUGGAUUGGAUUCAACAGCGGCUUGAAUCAUCCCAUGGUUUUCCAAUUCACUCGAGAACUAGCUGAUAUAAGUUGAGCUAGAAAACAAUGCUUCCAGUCAGGGAAUAUAUGUUCAUGUAUACUUCAACCCUUGAGUCAUGUGUGAAUACUCCAACCCCAGCUAAUUUUUUUCUUGAGCCUUAACGUUUGAAAACAGAUUGAACUCACUAUGGAAGAAAAAUGGCUACUUUCAUCAGUAUCAUAAUCCAUAAUUGAAUAGGGAAGUUUGCAUCGUACCCAGGGUUGGCUUUCUCCUCA